AUCAACUUUCGAUGGUAGGAUAGAGGCCUACCAUGGUAGUAACGGGUAACGGGGUGUUAGGGCACGACACCGGAGAGGGAGCCUGAGAAACGGCUACCACAUCCAAGGAUGGCAGCAGGCGCGCAAAUUACCCAAUCCCAACACGGGGAGGUAGUGACAAUAAAUAACAAUACGGGGUUCUUUCGGAUCUUGUAAUUGGAAUGAGUACAAUUUAAAUCUCUUAACGAGGAACAAUUGGAGGGCAAGUCUGGUGCCAGCAGCCGCGGUAAUUCCAGCUCCAAUAGCGUAUAUUAAAGUUGCUGCAGUUAAAAAGCUCGUAGUUGAAUUUCGGAAUCGAUUUACUGGUCGUGCUUACGGUACGUACUGGUUUUGUUGGCUCCUCCUUUCCGAGGAGCCGCGAUGUCAUUAAUUUGGUGUCGCGGGGAAUCGGGACUGUUACUUUGAAAAAAUUAGAGUGUUUAAAGCAGGCUAUCGCUUGAAUACAUUAGCAUGGAAUAAUGAAAUAGGACGAUUGAUCCUAUUUUGUUGGUUUAUAGGAUCGACGUAAUGAUUAAUAGGGAUAGUUGGGGGCAUUAGUAUUCAAUUGUCAGAGGUGAAAUUCUUGGAUUUAUUGAAGACUAACUACUGCGAAAGCAUUUGCCAAGGAUGUUUUCAUUAAUCAAGAACGAAAGUUAGGGGAUCGAAGACGAUCAGAUACCGUCGUAGUCUUAACCAUAAACUAUGCCGACUAGGGAUCGGAUGAUAAUUUUUCAAUAACUCAUUCGGCGCCUUACGGGAAACCAAAGUGUUUGGGUUC
rnacentral:rRNA from 1 species